rnacentral:rRNA from 1 species
AUACGGAGGGGGCUAGCGUUGUUCGGAAUUACUGGGCGUAAAGCGCGCGUAGGCGGUUUUUCAAGUUGGGGGUGAAAUCCCGAGGCUUAACCUCGGAACUGCCUUCAAAACUGCCAGUCUAGAGUCCGGGAGAGGUGAGUGGAAUUCCUAGUGUAGAGGUGAAAUUCGUAGAUAUUAGGAAGAACACCAGUGGCGAAGGCGGCUCACUGGCCCGGUACUGACGCUGAGGCGCGAAAGCGUGGGGAGCAAACAGGAUUAGAUACCCCGGUAGUCC